rnacentral:tRNA from 1 species
UGGGCAAUACUUUAAUAAAAAGGGUCGGUUUGCAUCCGAUUAUUGAGGGGUUUUCCUCUUGUCUAU